UACGUAGGGGGCAAGCGUUGUCCGGAUUUAUUGGGCGUAAAGAGCGUGUAGGCGGCCAGAUAGGUCAGCUGUGAAAACUCGAGGCUCAACCUCGAGACGUCGGUUGAAACCAUUUGGCUAGAGUCCGGAAGAGGAGAGUGGAAUUCCCGGUGUAGCGGUGAAAUGCGCAGAUAUCGGGAAGAACACCCGUGGCGAAGGCGGCUCUCUGGGACGGUACUGACGCUGAGACGCGAAAGCGUGGGGAGCGAACAGG
rnacentral:rRNA from 1 species